CUUUGUGAUGUUAAGGCUUAUUAAUGAUCAGGCGUGUUGUCAGAUGCACAGUAUCAUCAGCGUCCCUGUCGCUGUUUGGUUAAAGGAGAGAACUCAACUAAGGAAUCAUUGGGGCACCAACUAAACAUCCACCAUUUCAACUAGAGGUCAAAUCAUUCAGGCAGGUAGCCUAGUGGUUAGAGCAUUGGACUAGUAACUGAAAGGUUGCCGGAUCAAAUCCCUGAGCUGACAAGGUAACAAAAUCUCUCAUUCUGCCACUGAACAAGGCAGUUAACCCACUGUUCCUAGGCUUUCAUUGACAAUAAGAAUUUGUUCUUAACUGACUUGCCUAGUUAAAUAAAUAGUAAUUGUAGUUUCAUGAAGAUAUGAAUGGAAGUCUUAUCUACCCUAAACAAACAGUUGAAAUAUGUUGGUCCACUGGUGUCACUGAAGUACAGUUAAGUACACCAAAACAAAAAACUACAUCAAAAAUAACCUGGAGUUAAUUGUUUGGACAUGGAAUACAUUCAUGUUUAAACAUUACCCAAAUGUCUCUUCUGUUCAUACUACAGGUUCAUAGUCUGCAACUGUGAGAGCAGGCCCCCCACUUAGUGUAUUUGUCAAGCUGAGUUGGACACUCAGUAUUACAGGGUGUCAGUUUGUCAAAUACCCCAAGUGAGGGGUCACUUGUCUGCUGAGCAUCUCCCAUCAGACUAACUUCAAAGAAGAACACGUCAUUAACCUCCAAGUGACUUUCACUGUUAAGACUUUCUCAGAGGCAAGACAUUUUGAUUAUGUGAAAAUGAUUAUCUUUAUCUACUAUGCGUGAUUAUGUGCAAUUGAUCACGCACUGUCACAAAUGUCUCAUGUAUUUUGUGUAAGUUUGUAUGAUGGAACUUAGUACACUGUGUAACAAAUGUGUGUCUCUGUAUUAAAUACUGCAUUAAAUAAGUACUGGGUUAUAAAA